rnacentral:ncRNA from 1 species
AAGCGUUCUCAGGGCGGGGUGCAACUCCCCACCGGCGGUGAUGGCGAAGCGUGGCGACACCUUGGCACGAGCCCGCGAGCGCCCGCUGCGCCCCUGGUGCGGCGGGGUCAGCAGACCCGGUGCGAUCCCGGGGCCGACGGUCACAGUCCGGAUGAAAGAGAGCGCGG